rnacentral:rRNA from 1 species
AAUCAACGCUGGCGGCGUGCCUCAGACAUGCAAGUCGAACGCGAAAGUCCCCUUCGGGGGGACAAGUAGAGUGGCGCACGGGUGAGUAACACGUAGGUAAUCUACCUUUGGAUGGGGAAUAACAACCGGAAACGGUUGCUAAUACCGCAUAAUGCAGCGGCACCUAAUGGUGACAGUUGUUAAAGCGGGGGAUCGAAAGACCUCGCGUCUGAAGAGGAGCCUGCGGCGGAUUAGCUAGNGGUAAGGUAAUGGCUUACCAAGGCUACGAUCCGUAACCGGCCUGAGAGGGCGGUCGGUCACACUGACACUGACAUACGGGUCAGACUCCUACGGGAGGCAGCAGUCGGGAAUUUUGGGCAAUGGGCGAAAGCCU